AAGUGAUCGAAGAAAGUCAUCAGCUUAUCGACGGUGACAGACUCGAUCUUCACGCCCGGGAAGACGAGUUCCUUGUGCGUGUAACUCGAAUAUGUGUACAUGGAACAAUAUAUUUAAUAAAAUACCCAAGGCUCUCAAGAUGUACAAUCAGUGGGAAAGAAAAGAAGGCCAAUAGGAGUCCACGCAGCCUACGUUCGUUCGCCACGGUCGCAUACCUCAUCCAAUAGUUGACGAUGUUCUUGGCCAUUCCGAAGAACAGGGGAUCCCUCAUGCUGGUGC